UACGUAGGGGGCAAGCGUUGUCCGGAUUUAUUGGGCGUAAAGAGCGUGUAGGCGGCCAGACAGGUCCGUUGUGAAAACUCGAGGCUCAACCUCGAGAUGUCGAUGGAAACCGUCUGGCUAGAGUCCGGAAGAGGAGUGUGGAAUUCCUGGUGUAGCGGUGAAAUGCGCAGAUAUCGGGAAGAACACCCGUGGCGAAGGCGCUGCUCUGGGCCGAUACUGACGCUGAGGAGCGAAAGCGUGGGUAGCAAACAGG
rnacentral:rRNA from 1 species